AUCGUUUUCCGGGAGAAGAGAAACUGUGGAGUUUUAAAGAGUAGCCGGGGCGCAGGCCUGGUGGGGGAUAGUGAGGAAACUGAGGCACGGCAGGACUGAAGAAGUUGCCCAUGGCGUUGCAGAGCAGUAAGUAAUGAGCCAGGCUGUCGUCCCGGGUAUGGCUCUGACGUAUAUGUCGUUGUUGUU
rnacentral:lncRNA from 1 species